UGUACUACUUGCCCUUCUCCAAACUUCUCCUGGGAUUUAUUUUUAAAUUUUGGGGUUGCGGGGAGUCUAGUCCGGGGCCUAAUGCCGGCUUGCAGGCCUUGCGCGCAGAGGCCUCCCACCAGCUAGGUUACAGCACACACUGCUGUUCUUUGUGGGGGUGGGGGGGAGAAGGGUCCUUUCCCUCUAACCCAGGGGUCUGCAACCCACAGGUCUGGAGCCACUGCUGCUGCUCUUCGUCCUCCUCCUCCUCCUCCUCUUCUUCUUCUUCUUCCUCCCUCUUCUUCUCCUUUUUCCUCCUCCCCCUCCCCUUCUCCUUCUUCCUCUUCCUCCUCUUCUUCCUCUUCCUCCCUCUCCCGCUCCCUUCCUUCUUCCUCCUCCUCUCCCUCCUCCUCCUCUCCCUCCUCCUCCUCCUCCUCAGCCUCUUGGUGGUGCAGUGGUUAGAAUGCAGUAUUCCAAGCUACUCCUACUGCAGUUUGGCAGAUCGAAUCCCACCAGGUUCCAGGUAGAUUCAGCCUUCCAUCCUGCGGGUAAAAUUGGAUCCAGAUUAUGGGGGGGGGGGGGGGGAGAGGGCUGGCUCCGUAAACCGCUUAGAGAGGGCUGUAAAGCACUGUGAAACGGUAUAUAAGUCUAAGCGCUGUUGCUGUUCUUCCUCUUCUUCUUCUUCUUCUCCUUCUCCUUCUUCCGGGGCCUCUGUUGUGCCUCCCUGUCGGCGGAUCCCACCACUGGCUGGUCCCUCCCCUUCCUGUCACACCUCACCUGGCCUGAGAAGGUAAGGGUGACGCUGGGAGACAUGAAGACUCCCGCUCCAUAUUCCAGAGCACGAGAGUUGACCGGGGUGGGAGAGAGUCACGCCAGGGGUUAAAUUUAUCGGGCUCCCUGGUGUUUUCGGUGGGGGGGGGAAACGGGUCCAAAUGGCUCUUUUGAGGGUUUAAGGUUGCAGACCCCCCCCCAACCAGCCCCCCCCCCCCCGGUGAGUUUUUGAGUGGGGAGGGGGCGCUUGCAUUUCCAGCAGUGCACCCCUUGAUCGCAUCCAGAGGUGGGAGGGCAAGGGAGGUUGGGCCGGGCGGAGCAAGAACACGCACCAAAGGUAUAUUUGGGGUGGUUUUUUCCUCCCCCACCCCAACACCCCCCAAGCAGGAGGCUCUGGGUUCUUUUUUGGGGGGGGGGAGAACAUUGGGGGCAGAAGGGGGAAAGUCGCUGACAUGUACAUAGUGGCCGAUCUUUUGCACUUUGUCACUGGGGGGGGGGGCGCGUACGCGGAGGGGUGCGCUCCGGUGAUUGUUGACCGUUUGCUACUGAAUGUAACUCGUUUUUAUUUUCCUUAUUUUUUUUUUUUAGAAAAGCACCUCUAGCUAGUUUUUACGGCACUUUAGAUAUUUACUGAAAUCUGUUUAAGGAAACUACAGAAAAGCAAAAAAAAAAAUAAAAAAAUAAAAGGGAGAGAGAGAGGAAAACA
rnacentral:lncRNA from 1 species